rnacentral:rRNA from 1 species
CCUACGGGUGGCAGCAGUGGGGAAUAUUGCACAAUGGGGGAAACCCUGAUGCAGCGACGCCGCGUGAGCGAUGAAGUAUUUCGGUAUGUAAAGCCCUAUCAGCAGGGAAGCAAAUGACGGUCCCUGCCUACGAAGCGCCGGCUAACUACGUGCCAGUAGCCGCGGUACUACGUAGGGGGCAAGCGUUAUCCGGAUUUACUGGGGGUAAAGGGAGCGUAGACGGCGAUGCAAGGCAGAUGUGAAAGCCCGGGGCUCAACCCCGGGACUGCAUUUGAAACUGGAUAGCUGGAGUGUCGGAGAGGCAGGCGGAAUGCCUAGUGUAGCGGUGAAAUGCGUAGAUAUUAGGAGGAACACCAGUGGCGAAGGCGGCCUGCUGGACGAUGACUGACGUUGAGGCACGAAAGCGUGGGUAGCAAACAGGAUUAGAUACCCUUGUAGUC